rnacentral:rRNA from 1 species
CGUAGGGUGCGAGCGUUAAUCGGAAUUACUGGGCGUAAAGCGUGCGACAGGCGGUUUUGUAAGACAGAUGUGAAAUCCCCGGGCUCAACCUGGGACCUGCAUUUGUGACUGCAAGGCUAGAGUACGGUAGAGGGGGAUGGAAUUCCGCGUGUAGCAGUGAAAUGCGUAGAUAUGCGGAGGAAACACCGAUGGCGAAGGCAAUCCCCUGGACCUGUACUGACGCUCAUGCACGAAAAGCGUGGGGAGCAAACAGGAUUAGAUACCCUGGUAGUCCACGCCCUAAACGAUGUCAACUGGUUGUUGGGGUCUUUACUGACUCAGUAACGAAGCUAACGCGUGAAGUUGACCGCCUGGGGAGUACGGCCGCAAGGUUGA